AACAGGACUUGUGAGUCCAGGAAGCAGGAAGCUCACCCCACUCACUUCCAGGCCACCUCAGGAAUCCUCAUGCAUUUGUUCAGCGUCACUCCCGUGUUUAUUGAGCACCUACUAUGUGCCAGGCACUAUGCUAGGACCCCGGGAUUAAAAUGACUUACCAAACAUUCACGGGUCUUCAAAAUCAUUCCCAGGUCUUCCUGUUUUUGAGAGUUAGGUAAUUCAAAUAGUGAACACAAGUAAGUGCAAAAUCUCUGCUCUGGUGAAUGCUAAAAGGGGUGUAUUGAUGCUUGGGUGCUGGCUAGGCAUGGUGGCUCUCACCUGUAAUCCCAGCACUUUGGGAGGCCAAGGUGGGAGGAUAGCUUGCUCCCAGGAGUUCGAAACCAGCCUGGGCAACAUAGUGAGACCCCAUUCUCUACAACAAAAAUGUAAAAACAUUUAGCCUGGUAUGGUGGCAUUCACUUGUAGUCCCAGCCACUCGGGGGGGCUGAGGUGGGAGGUUUGCUUGAACUAGAAGGCUGAGGCUGCAGUGAGCUAUAAUCAUCCCACUGCACUCCAGCCUGGAUGAUGGAGUGAGACCCCGUCUCUUAACAAAAAAAGAAAAGAAGCAAAAAAGCCUGGAUGCUAUGAGAGGGGCCAGACAGCCAUGUACUGGUGAUUCCUCUUUGUGGGGGUCAGCGUCCCUACCUCACCAAUGAUGGGCAUGACUUCCUUUGGCCCAUGGAAUAGGGGUGGAAAUAGGUCUUCAGCACAGUCUCAAGACACAUCGUAUGUUUCUGCAUACUCUCCCUGACAGAGCUCUGCUAUCACCGUGAAAGGACAUGCCCUGGUGGUGGUGGGGAAUCCACCCAGAUGAAGCCAGACACGUAGAAAGACGUGGUCCCAACCUCCAGCCUGGAGACGGGCAGCCCAGUCAGCUCAAUCAAAAUCACUGAUCUAGUCAAGUGGCAUCCAGAAAGGUUUCCUGGCGGAAGAGUGUGGCCCAGGGAAGACAAAAGAUUGGACAUCCCUGCUUUGAAACAACCUCAUGAGGACUAUGAAAGGCUGCAGGGGAGAAGCAGACUUUGACCUCUGAUCGAUGUGGAGUCCAAAUCCAAACUUGCCGGUCGACAAGCUGUGUGACCUUGGGCAAGUUGCUUCAUCUCUCUGAGCUUCAAUUUUCCCCUCUGUGCAAUGUGGAUGAUAAUGGAACUUACUAGCUAUUUAUAGCUACAAUUAUAUGACCAAACACUGAAAACUGACAACUGUUACUGUAUUAUUAGUGUCUCCUCCUUUCUCCCCGGCCCCUCGGUGUCCAGAAUUUCCUCGCUCUUACCU